rnacentral:rRNA from 1 species
CCUACGGGCGGCAGCAGUGAGGAAUAUUGGUCAAUGGGCGCGAGCCUGAACCAGCCAAGUCGCGUGAGGGAGGACGGCCCUACGGGUUGUAAACCUCUUUUGCCGGGGAGCAACGGGCGCCACGUGUGGCGUCACUGAGAGUACCCGGAGAAAAAGCAUCGGCUAACUCCGUGCCAGCAGCCGCGGUAAUACGGAGGAUGCGAGCGUUGUCCGGAUUUACUGGGGGUAAAGGGCGUGCAGCCGGGAAGACAAGUCAGAUGUGAAAUCCCGCGGCUCAACCGCGGAACUGCAUUUGAAACUGUUUUUCUUGAGUACCGGAGAGGUCAUCGGAAUUCCUUGUGUAGCGGUGAAAUGCGUAGAUAUAAGGAAGAACACCAGUGGCGAAGGCGGAUGACUGGACGGCAACUGACGGUGAGGCGCGAAAGCGUGGGGAGCAAACAGGAUUAGAUACCCCUGUAGUC